rnacentral:tRNA from 1 species
GUCAAUAUAGUUUAACUAAAACAUUAGGCUGUGGCUCUAAAAAUAGAAGAUAUUCCUUCUUACUGACC